rnacentral:rRNA from 1 species
CAGCCGCCGCGGUAAUACGAAGGGUGCAAGCGUUACUCGGAAUUACUGGGCGUAAAGCGUGCGUAGGUGGUGGUUUAAGUCCGUUGUGAAAGCCCUCGGCUCAACCUGGGAAUUGCAGUGGAUACUGGGUCACUAGAGCGUGGUAGAGGAUAGUGGAAUUUCCGGUGUAGCAGUGAAAUGCGUAGAGAUCGGAAGGAACAUCUGUGGCGAAGGCGACUAUCUGGGCCAACACUGACACUGAGGCACGAAAGCGUGGGGAGCAAACAGGAUUAGAUACCCCAGUAGUCCCUGUCUCUUAUAU